CCUACGGGAGGCAGCAGUGGGGAAUAUUGCACAAUGGGCGCAAGCCUGAUGCAGCAACGCCGCGUGAGGGAUGACGGCCUUCGGGUUGUAAACCUCUUUUAGCAGGGAAGAAGCGAAAGUGACGGUACCUGCAGAAGAAGCGCCGGCUAACUACGUGCCAGCAGCCGCGGUAAUACGUAGGGCGCAAGCGUUAUCCGGAAUUAUUGGGCGUAAAGAGCUCGUAGGCGGUUUGUCGCGUCUGCUGUGAAAUCCCGAGGCUCAACCUCGGGUCUGCAGUGGGUACGGGCAGACUAGAGUGCGGUAGGGGAGAUUGGAAUUCCUGGUGUAGCGGUGGAAUGCGCAGAUAUCAGGAGGAACACCGAUGGCGAAGGCAGAUCUCUGGGCCGUAACUGACGCUGAGGAGCGAAAGGGUGGGGAGCAAACAGGCUUAGAUACCCUGGUAGUCCACGCCGUAAACGAUGGAUACUAGCUG
rnacentral:rRNA from 1 species